rnacentral:misc_RNA from 1 species
GAGAGGAACGUAGCGAAAUGCGAUAAGUAGUGUGAAUUGCAGAAUUCAGUGAAUCAUCGAAUCUUUGAACGCACAUUGCGCCCCAUGGUAUUCCGUGGGGCAUGCCUGUUCGAGCGUCAUUUACCCCCUCAAGCUCCGCUUGGUGUUGGGCGUCUGUCCCGCUUCGCGCGCGGACUCGCCCCAAAGGUAUUGGCAGCGGUCGUGCCAGCUUCUCGCGCAGCACAUUGCGCUUCUCGAGGCACCGGUGGGCCCGCGUCCAUCAAGCUCACCCCCCCAGUUUGACCUCGGAUCAGGUAGGGAUACCCGCUGAACUUAAGCAUAUCAAUAAGCGGAGGA